UGAAUCGUGGAUUGAAGCUCUUU
rnacentral:piRNA from 1 species